GCUACCAUGACUUUGAUCCCCGUCUUCAUCUGGACACUGAUCCUCUGGACUCAAGAAUGCAGAGGUCAAGCAACAGUAACUCAGACUCCUGCAGUGAAAUCUGUUCUUCCAGGAGAAACAGUCACCAUCAACUGUAAAACCAGUCCAGCAGUGUAUAGCAACAACUACUUACACUGGUAUCAGCAGAAAACUGGAGAAGCUCCUAAACUACUGAUUAAACUUGCCAAUCAGUUACAGUCGGGUUUUCCAGCUCGUUUCAGUGGCAGUGGAUCUGGAUCUGAUUUCACUCUGACCAUCAGUGGAGUCCAGACUGAAGAUGCAGGAGAUUAUUACUGUCAAAGUGAACAUUCCAUCUCAGGCUACUGGUUCACACAGUGAUAUAGAGUCGUACAAAAACCUCCCUCAGUCAGAUAGUAGAGAAACUGCACUGCUGCAGCUGGGAGCGACUGCAGGUGCUGAGUUGGAGGAUGUGAUACACACAAACACACAAAUUCCUAAUUAACAGACGCAACCAUCAGGGUUUUUACUUUGAUUAGUGUCUGUGUGUUUAAUCUGUUGGUCUCAGAACAU